GCUUCAGUCGGUUGGUAGGUCGCGUCGUCAACGCCAGCGUUGCUGCUGUUGGGUUCUGCUGCUGCCGCUGUCGCUGUUUUGGCUCUUUGCCUGUUGUUUACUGCGCUGCUUGCUGCGGGUUGCGCCUUUUUCUAGCUGCUUGUAUGAUUUCGUUUAUUUUUUCGCAAAUUGCCGAUGCCGCCGGAGAUCAGCAUAGUCGCGUCGCUGCCGCUGUCGCUGUUCGUUGUCGUCGUGUGCUGCGCUCGCGUGCGCGUUUAGUUUUUGAGACUUCGACGUCGCCAUCGCCGUCGCCGUAGACGUUAACUGCGACUGCGACUUGAACGCCAACGCAGCUGCCGUUGCCUCUGCCACUGCGCGACACUCUUAACCUAUUUUCUCGCGAAGCGAACAUUAGUUACAAUUUUGUUGUGAUGUUGCGUGGCAGAUACGCGUCGGACACGGACGCUGCUUGCGCGGAUUCUAAGCACGCACACUUACACUAGCACACAUACAACCCCAAACAAUACACACACAUAUACACGCAUCGACACGCAUACAUAUACAUGUGUAUAUAUCUGAAGAAUCCCAAUAAAAUAUAGUAACAAAAAAAAAUACAAAAUAUACCAUAAAUCAAAUAAAUAAAGAACAUCAUUUUGUUCUAGAAUUUAGAGAGUGCAAAAUUAAAAAAUGAAAGAAAAUGCGGUGCCUUGACACAAUCUUAAAGUUUUAUGCAUGAAUUGAAUUUGAAUCCCAAUAUCCAACAAUAA